rnacentral:lncRNA from 1 species
AACGAGAUGUUUCAUGCACAUGCCGUAGAGUAGCAACACUUUUUGAGGCGAAUAAUGAGUUGCAUGGAAGUUGGAAUUGUGGGACCAUUGGCGCUAAUCAUUAAUUCUAAAAAUUCAAAUUAUUAGAAACCCACAAUUAAUUUAUUUCAAAUAUAAUACCCACAAGUCUCGAUUGUGAUUCAUCCUAACCAAUCUUACGCUACUUCGAAUAUGACUUAGCCUAAUCCAGCCUCACGCCAUUUCGAAUAUACUCGGUCCAAUCUGAUCUCCCAUCAGAAGGCAGGAUACUAGUCUAUUUAAACCAAUAGGAAUAUCACUUUGUUUUGCUCGAAAAAGUGGUGAUUUUUCAUAGAUAAAUAAUGUAAUCAAAAAAUUGAGCCCUAUAUAUACUUUUAAAAGUACCAAGUCAUUGGCACUUAUAGGUUUUGGCUCUUAAAUUAAGGAAUGUGUUGUUAGAAUAAUAGUGAUCCAUUAAAGUUUAGUGGAUGGUUGGUUUAAUAGUAUAGUCUACCAGGUGAAAAUGAUCCAAAUGAUAGAUCUAACGGCGAAAAAUUUACAAACCACUACAACAGAAUUAGUUUAUAGGGACACAUGUUUGGGACACUUUUGAGUAAGUGUCUCAUUUAUGCUAAAACUUAAAAAAAUAUCUACUAAUGCCUAAAUAUAAAGCUCAAUCCAACCAAAAAUAAAAGAUUACUCUACUCAACCCACCACACCCAGUCCAUUUGGUCCGAUUACAAACAGAAAAGAAAAAAAAAGAAAAAUUAAUUACCAUCUUUUCUUCUCUCUUCACUCAAUUCACUGAAAUUCUAGACGAAGAGCCUUUCCUGUCGUCCUCCUCCGCCACCGCAGCCAACAAGAUAGAGUUUCGACGGUUGCUAAAUGCUUAAAUAAGUGUUGGUAAAUUUGCAGUACUCUUUAGGUUAUAGCGACACUCUUUAACUGUCACUAUAUAUCUAGCGACCCCACAUAUAGCAACACUUUUUAAAAGUGUCGGUAAUUUUAGCUAGCAGCACUUUUUUGACAUGUACCUAUAUUUAAAAGUGUCGUUAUAGAUCGUUUUUGUUGUAGUGUACAUCAAAUACUUGUAAAUUUUAAAAGCACCGUAGCCGGACUCUAAGUUAGGCAUUCGGUCGUUAGAAA